rnacentral:rRNA from 1 species
AUUGAACGCUGGCGGCAUGCUAUACACAUGCAAGUCGAGCGGCAGCACGGGCUUCGGCCUGGUGGCGAGUGGCGAACGGGUGAGUAAUGCAUCGGAACGUGCCGUGUAGUGGGGGAUAACGUAGCGAAAGUUACGCUAAUACCGCAUACGCCCUGAGGGGGAAAGUGGGGGACCGCAAGGCCUCACGCUAUCCGAGCGGCCGAUGUCGGAUUAGCUCGUUGGUAGGGUAAAGGCCUACCAAGGCGACGAUCCGUAGCGGGUCUGAGAGGAUGAUCCGCCACACUGGGACUGAGACACGGCCCAGACGCCUACGGGAGGCAGCAGUGGGGAAUUUUGGACAAUGGGCGCAAGCCUGAUCCAGCCAUGCCGCGUGAGUGAAGAAGGCCUUCGGGUUGUAAAGCUCUUUCAGACAGAAAGAAAUCGGUGUGUUUAAUACAUGCACUGGAUGACGGUACCGUAAGAAGAAGCACCGGCUAACUACGUGCCAGCCGCCGCCGUAACAC